UUUAUGCACUAUCCAGCUCUUGCUAACAAAAAUGCCAAGUGAGUGUAACUGACCUUUCAGUAGGGCAGAUGCUUAAUGGAAUUAGGUAAUUUCAAUCACUCGUCUACCUGCCUCUCCCUGACAAGCACACAUUCCAUGAGAGAUGCUGCGUGUUAAACACUUAAUGCUGGAGGUAAACAAAGAGCUUGUUUCUUGCAGACAAACACAAUAUAGAAGAACUUACUUAGACGCUGUCUCCUUAUCAUAUUGGCACCGCAGGUCAAGCAGCUCCCUCUGUGUUGUCUUCAGUGCUGCACAACAGAAGCAUCGGUUGAAACGGUCUGCUUUUCCAGUUCGGAAAGAGAUUAAUAACCAGGUCAAAUAGCAAAAGUCUAUUUCAAGAGCCAUCGAAAUAGAAGAUGAGAGGCCAUUAAUUUUAUCUUUUGUCACAUCUGUCUCUAUGACUCUUUGUAUGAAUAUUAACAAGACGAAACAGUUUGUUUUCGUCAAACUGUACCAAUAGUGACGCCAAGAAUGUUUAAUACAGAACCAAAGACUGAAGUGUAGCAGAUCAAGGCUACCAACCAGGGAUGGAAAAUCUCAGACUGACCUGAAUGAAGAACCUUGAUCUUUUCUUCAGCCUCACCAAGUCUGACCGCCAAGGUCUCCUGUUAUAACUAAAGCUGAAAGACAAGGACACAACAACAUAGUUCUGUCUAGGCAGAGGAAAGAGACAACUCAUUAAUGUUUUAGCCAAUUAACUAGGGCCACACCUGUAAGCCUUCAAUUGGCAAAGACUUUUGUCAAAUAUUGAUGUACAGAACUUCCAGGAAUAACAGAAGGUACACCGGAGCUAUGGCAGCUUAGUAAUAUACAGUAUAAACCUAAAAGACAACAGGUAAUAAUAAAAUAAAAUGUAGAAUAUAUUGCUUGAGCACAGUUGACUUAAUUAGGACCUGUCAAUUUGAUUUAACCAUCUGGACUCAAGCAUGGAUACUUUUAAAACCUGGACUGUAUAGGCAGAGUUUGGGAAACUCUGGAUUAUAGUAAUAUUUCAAACUAAUUGCUUUCUUGAAUUAGCAUCACACAUGUCUUCAAUAUUCUAGUCAAUCAUUCAGCCUUUUUAAAUGAGGAAAAAUGUAGUCACUUCACUGUUUGGUAUCAUCAUGUGCACCACACUGAACAUUGAUCAGAGAAAGCAAACAGGGAGUUGUCUGAGGUGAUCAAAAAGAAAACUAUACACACGCUCAUUAAAGUUAAAGGCUAAAAGAUCAUGUCCAAGCAGCAUAUUGAUCCUGAGACUACAGUUGCAAAUUUUAUUAAGAAGUUUAAAAUCCAUGAAACUGUAGCCAACCUAGCUGGAUGUGGCAAGAGGAAAAUUGACCACAGAUUAAACAGAAGGACAGUAAACAUGGUUGCUAAAGAGCCAAGGAAAACUUCCAAAGAGAUACUGUACAAGCCGAACUUGAAGGUCAAGGUACGUCUGUGUCUGAUCGCACUAUUCAACACUCAUUUAGCAACAGUGGGCUCCAUGGAAGAAGGACCAGACAGAUUGGAAUUUUCUAAAAUGCAUAUUGAUCGGAACUGGAGCUUUUUGGCAAAUCAUAUCAGCUCAUUGUUCACAAAUGAAAAAAAAAAAAAAGAUUUCAAAGAAAAGAACACCAUAUAGAUAUGUCCUCCUACAUCCUUGCUGCAGUCACAUUUAACAGACCUUCUAGUCGCGCCAAAGUCUUGAGCAUGUUUACUAACACCGGGCAUGUGUUUGUGCAUUUUCUUCUGAAAAUGCAUCUUAUUCACAUGCUCCAUAUCAUUUUAAUCAGUACAGCUAUGCGAAUAAGACGCAUUUUUGUCAAAAAAGUUUGCUGACGUUAGCAGAGAUGCCCGGGAACUGCUGGCUCACUUACGCCAGGAAUCUCAAGGUGCAUGGCGUAUAGAGGCUAGAUGUAUGAGGACACAUCUGUAUCUGUAACAUGUCGACAGUUCGGUUACGUUUUGGGGCUGCUUUGCUGCGUCUGGCACAGUAUAUCUUGAAUCUAUGCAGGACACAAGGAAAUGUCAAGACUAUCAAGGCAUUUUGGAGUGAAACAUACUGCCCAGUGUGAGAAAGCUCUGUCUCAGACGCAGGUCAUGAGUCCUCCAACAGUAUAACAACCCAAAACACACAGCUAAAAGCACCCAAGAAUGGAUAAGAACAAGACAUUGGACUAUUCUGAAUUGGCCUUCUAUGAGCCCUGAUCUGAAUCCUAUCAAACAUCUAUGGAAAGAGCUGAAACAUGUAGUCUGAAGAAGGCAACAAUAACACCUGAAACAGCUGCAGCAAUUUGGCACGGAAGAAUGGACCAAACUACCUGUUGUCAGUUACAAAAGUCUUCCUGAGAGCUACAGAAAUUACUUGAUUGCAGUAAUUGUCUACAGUAUAAAGA